UUUUUCUCUUAUGUGACCUCACUUCUUGAAUCCUCCAUGCUCUUCUCCAAUGUAUACUGCUUGCUCUCUAGACUUGCUGCACAGCCAUCCUGCAGAGAUUUGUCCUUACCUUUCUCUAGCAUCAGCAUAACUUUUUGUCCUUAUUUUGUUGGAUUGUAUGGCCUAGUGACAUUCCAAAAGAUCACCCAGGAACUUUGGGGAUUUCUUCUUCUUCAUAAUUUUUAUUUGUGGCAUUACAUGAUAAUAUCUCCAGGCAUGAGUUUUUUAAUCUAUUUUUCAAUACCCUGAGUCUACUCAAAUCUGAAUAGUUAUUUUCUUCUCUGCUCUAACUUCGAUUUUAUCUCCAGUACUUCUCUUGAGUUUUUAAGUUAACAAAUUUUUAAUGUCUGGUAGCUCUUUUUGUUCUAUCAUUGCUCCUUUUUCAAAGUAUCUUAUUCAUAUCUUGUAGACAUAAUAUGUUCUGAAUUCCAUAUUAAUUCGGGUGCUUCUUUAAAAUCUUUU
rnacentral:lncRNA from 1 species